ensembl:snoRNA
AUAGCACUUUCACAGGUCCUCCUCUAGGAAGUGGGGUUAGGAUUUGGUAGCUGGUGCUGAAAGAAAAUCCUUGAUUGCAUCCUUGCCCUGGUAUUGUGCCAGUGGCAGCUGUCACUCAACGGGACAGAG